UUGCCCCUCACCUGAACAGCAAGACUAGAGACAGGGUCCUUGUCUCAGCAUUCACUCGUUCCCUUAAAGACCCGUUUCCUCCUGCUCGCUCAGCUGGUAUAGGAGCACUGGGCUCCACCCUCUCUUACUACACACCCGUUGACAUGGCAACCAGGAUCAUCCCCUCACUGAGUCACAUGAUUGUAGAUAAAAACCAGUCCGUCCGAAAGCAGGCACAUAAAGUUUUGAAGUUGUAUGUCGAUAAAUUAGAGGAACACUUAAAGAAGAUGGAGCCGUCGUCUGAUGGAGAAGGAAUUGAACAAACUGAAAGUAUUAGGAGGCAGCAAGGAAGAAAAUAUUAGCUGGUAUGUCACUGAAACCAACUGGACUGGGAGCAGUCAAGAAAGACUGAGACCAAAGGAGUACAAUGAACUUUUUUUAUUGUUUUAUGUAUGUGUAUUUUACUAUUUU